UCUCCAUUUCUGCUCAGAAACUCCUCAGAAGCAGCUGAAGCCCAGAACAAAUGAGACGGAGAAGAAAAGGAAAAGCCUGGGCUGCAUCUGCUGUACGUGACCAAGCGAACUCUGACCCCUCUCCCUGUCCCGCCCGAGGCCGAGGCAGCGCCGCGAGCCUGGGCUCACCCGGGCCCCUGUGCACGAGCUCCAGGGUGUAUAGCGAGAACGACCAGCGAUACCUAACGCCUCGGCGACCACAGCAGGGAUCUCCAGACCAUAAUACUCCUGUACACUGUUUACAGCAUGGACUCUGAGGAGCGAGUGUGUCCUCAUACCCACACACACACACACACACACACACACACACACACACACACCAGCAGGGCAGCGCCGGACUCGAGCGCGCUGCCGCGGCUUUGAUCUUGGUCUCAAUUCUAAUUAUUAUAUCUAUUUUUUUAUUUUACUCGGAUUUCCACAGACGCUGACGUUGUAGUUCUUUACGCUUCACCGAUUUGUAACCUUGUAUUUUUUUAUUGGACGAUGGAUGUUUUUGGGCGUUGUUUCUGAAAAUCUCUAUUAUUUUUUUAUACCGGAGCUGACUGACGAUGCGCUCGCGCCCGAGACCUGCCGCGCUUUUAGAGCUACUUCGGUACGGCGGAAUUAAACGCGAGUAUUUUUGAUAAGACGACGUGUCCGUGUUACUGAGGAACAACAGAAAACCGUGAGAGUCUUAAGCAUUUCCUCUUUAGUGAAAUAAAACCACGCUGCAUUGUGGAGUUUGUGUAUCAGUGGCCUGCGCUCACGUCUUGCUUUCCUUUUUUUUAUUUUUAUUUUUUAGAGAAUAAACGUCUCGGCAGAGUGUUACUGAACGGGGUGUGGGGUAUGCAAAUGAGUAUGAAUAUGCAAAUGAGUGUGUUCAUUUUGUCUUAUUAUUGCACCAAAACCAUCUCAAUAUUUAUAUCAGCACACACACACACACACACACGUCUCUAGUACUGUUAGUUUAAAAAUCACAUUUAAAUUUAAACAUUUUACAUUUGAAUACAUUUGAAUAUUAAUGAGUUUGUAUCAAAUCAGCUACACGUGUUAAAUCACAUCAGCUCUAAAAAAAGUACAUUUCUAAAAAUCAUUUCAUCAGUGUUAUUGUUGUAGAUUACUUCAUUUAUUUAUUUACUAACAAAGGUUUUCUUUUCAUUGACCUUGCUUUAAUAAAUUCUAAUCGUUCUCUAUAUCCGCUCCCCACGUCGCGCGCGUAGCCUGCAGCUCCACUUAGAUCCGUCUACAGAUUAAUACUUCUUUUAUCUUCUGCACAAUAUAAAUACGCUAUAACGUUAGAGCUCUUUCCCGACAUCAGGUGACACGUGGCCGCUUCAGACCCAUCAGUGCAGUGACUACAGGUUCAUAUUUUUGCAUUUAAAUAUGUAAUAUGCAUUUAAAUAUGCAUUUAAAUCUUUUUUUAAAUUAGUGUUCAAACGGUCAACAUGAUGCACCGAUGUGUGAUGUUUUUGAAAGUGAAUUUAAUGGAGUUUAGAGAGAUUUUGGAAUUUAG
ensembl:lncRNA